UACGAAGGGGGCAAGCGUUGUUCGGAAUUAUUGGGCGUAAAGGGAGCGUAGGCGGUUCGGCAAGUCUUUAGUGAAAUCUCUGGGCUCAACUCAGAGUCUGCUGGAGAAACUGCCGGGCUGGAGUAUGGGGGAGGUGAGUGGAAUUCCCGGUGUAGAGGUGAAAUUCGUAGAUAUCGGGAGGAACACCAGUGGCGAAGGCGGCGACCUGGGCAGAUACUGACACUGAGGUGCGAAAGCGUGGGGAGCAAACAGG
rnacentral:rRNA from 1 species